CAAUUUCACCAUUGUGAUUUGAAAAGAUGUAUUUUCCACUAGCACUCCUAGAUUCCCCUUAUCAUUUCCUCAUCCGCACACAGCAACUGACGCCGACUGCCCACAGAAAGUCGAACAGGUGUGAAAAAGAGGCGCUAGGAACCAGAUGCUCAAAGCCCGUCUAACAAACACGAAGCAAUCUGUCGGCUGAGCAAGACACCACGCCCCCUGAAGACCUUCGCAAGUGCACAGGAACCGGGGAGCGUCCGGCGCAAGGAGAGAGGAGCUGCCCAGCCUCCGGUGACGCAACAGGCUAGGCUGCCGGACCUCCACAGCGGCCACUCGGGCCUCAAGAACGGCAUCUAACAACAAUCAUCUCCGUUUCUGAUCUUGCAUCGGUCACCUGCCAGCUUGUCAGCUUGUCGAAAAAUGGCUGCCAGGGCCCCACCCUGAGGACUCUGACUCAGGGGGUGAGGACCCAGGAGAGUGCAUUUGCAGAAGCUCCCACCCCCUCCAGUGACUGGUGCACGGAGUUAGGAGCAGCCCUGGUACACGGGACUCAAACAGGAUUCAUGUACCAGAAAGAACCCAAAACUCCAGAGAUUGAUCCUGGGGCCAUAAUUUCCUGAAAUGUUCAAGGAAGAAUAAAGGAAACACUCAUCAUGGCCACACUGAGUCAGAGAUCCAUGAGGAAAUGGGGCCUAAAAUGUAAAAGGCUAAAUCCUUAAUCACCCCCAGGAGAAGUUGGAAAACCUCAGGAUGGUCUAGAGCCCCACAGGGUCAUGGAGAUGCUCAAGAGAACAUCACAGGGCUCUUUCCAUCUGGGUUCUUGGUGGAAAUGGCUUGUCAUAGACCCUGUAUCCUGCUGGAACCUGUGUGUUGUAUGUCGUCUAGGAUGGCCCGGGCUGCAAAGGAAUCCAGGACCAGCAGCUUCCAAAGCUCUCCACGAUGUUGUCUUCUUUGCUUGGUACCUGAGGGGAUGGCCAACUGCUGCUGUUCGCCUUCCCAGAUGUCUGGCUGGCUGGGCAUCCUGGUUUCCAGUCACUUGAUGGAGACUGGAUACCAAGUCCAGCCCUCUGUCACUGCUCUGCAGACAGGGAAACAGCCCCAGGAAGUGGAGUCUUUGUGUACAAAAAGCACUGGGACAAGUCUCUGGUCAGAGAAGGUGAUCUGGGAAGACCUUCUACACAGGAGCACGUGAUCACUCAGUAGCUGUUAUUGAGUGUCUUACUGCUUGUCAAGUACUGGCUGGGCUGUGCUGGGAGGGACUCUCAGAUGAGUAAGAAAUAAGUUUUUUCCUGGAAUAGCUAACUGAGGUGGAGAGGGCUGGCUAGAGAGAAGGAGCAAAGAAUUAAACAGAAUAUUCAUGGACCUGUGGGCAAGAGAGCACUCGGGUGGGUAGUCAGCAAGUGCAGGAGGCUCCUAUCACCUGUGUUUCUGGGCAAGCGACUUUCCAUCUCCGAGCCUUGACAACCCUGUCUACAAAAUGGGUGUGAUCACUUCAGCUUGGCCUGACCCACAGAGGAGGCAUCUGGAGAAUGACUACAAGAACUUUUACAUGUAAAAUGUGGUUGAAGAUAUUUUGACAAAUCAAUAAAUAUAUUGAUUUCGAACACA